GAUGAACGCUGGCGGCGUGCUUAACACAUGCAAGUCGAGCGAAGCGGGGACGGAUGAGUAACACGUGGAUAACCUCCUAUCAGACUGGGAUAACUUCUGGAAAACGGAGCUAAACCGGAUACUUAUAGAUUGAUCUGCGCUGCAUUAGCUAGUUGGUAAGGUGACGGCUUACCAAGGCAAGGAUGCAUAGCCGUGCUGAGAGGGUGAUCGGGCAACCGGGAACUGUGACACGGACCAGAGGCCUAGGGGAGGAAGCAGUGGAGAAUCUUCCGCAAUGGGCGAAAGCCUGACGGAGCAACGCCGCGUGAGUGAGGAAGGUCUUCGGGUCGUAGAACUCUAUUAUUAGGUAAGCGGUACCUAAUCAGAAAGCCACGGCUAACUACGUGCCAGCAGCCGCGGUAAUUC
rnacentral:rRNA from 1 species